rnacentral:rRNA from 1 species
CAGGCUGCAACCCGCCUGCACGAAGCCGGAGUUGCUAGUAAUCGCGAAUCAGAAUGUCGCGGUGAAUGCGUUCCCGGGUCUUGUACACACCGCCCGUCACACCAUGGAAGUUGGGGGUGCCCAAAGCCGGCAAGCAAAUAUGCUGUCUAAGGCAAAACCAAUGACUGGGGUGAAGUCGUAACAAGGUACC